UCUAUUACUAUAAAAAUGCAAAAAAAUAAUCGAACUUUUCUGAUAAAUUUUCUGUAAAUAGUAACUAUAAAAUUUCUUGACUACAUAUUAAUCUUAACAAUUUCAUUUUUUUCUAUUUAAUAAUGUCAAUUUCAAACUUGCAAGUUGAGCUAAAAGUCAUGGUGGAUAUUGACUUUAAACGACUUAAUCAAAUAUAAUAGUACGAUGGUCGAUUCAUUUGAUGAUUCUUACCAAGAUAUUAUGAAUAUUAUAGAAAAACACAAUAAAAACCGAGUUAGCAAAAUACUUGUAGAACAGCUUUCUCAGAAAUCAGACAUUUGUCAAAGUGGAAAAAAUUCAGCAUUCUUCUAUCUAUUAAGCUCGUUUUUCGUGCCAAUGUCGCAAAAAGUGACGAGAGAUGAAAAUGGAAAAAAAAUAUAUCAUUAAAUAUUCUAUAAAGGACUCUCAAAAUUCAUUCAUUAGUUUCCCACGAGAUAGUUGGCCAAGCUGAAGCUUACAUCUCAUUAUUACAAAGUAAAAAUCAGCCAAUACAACCAUUCAUUUUAAUUAUUGGCACGAUUUUAAAACCACGUGAUAUAUUAUUAUAUUUUUAUGCCAUCAAGUAUAAUUUUUUUUCAAUAAUAAGAGCAUUGGAUGUCUGCUUUAAGAUAUUCCACGUUUUUAAUUUAGAAUACCCAACUUCCGUCAUGUGCUGUCUGGACAUUUAUUCAACAAUAUUUUUACAAAUUAUUUUUAAAGAACGACUACUCCUAUCAAACAUUAAAACAAGUGCUACAUGAUCUCAACAAAAUAGUAAAAUAAUAUUAUUAUAUUAAUAUUAUAUUGAAAAAUCUUUUAAUUUUUCACUUUAUAUUUUUCUUCUUUUCAUUCUUAUUAAUUAUUUGUAAAUUAUUAAUUUUUAUUUGAUUAUAUAAAAUUAAUUUUACAUCCAAUGUAUA